GCAGCUCACUGCUCGGCCGUCACCGGCUUCAAACGGCCGGGCUUCUCACAGGGCCCUGAGACCCAGCCGCCCCCGCCCCUGCCCCCCACCGUGCCCGGCUCACACGGGGUGGGGGCGGGGCUCCUGACCGUGGCAGGACGGGCGUCGGAUUCAAGAGGGCAAGAGCAUGGCGGCCCCUCCCGGGACUCAGGGGAAGCCCAGCUGCCCGGGGCUGGCCCCCGCGUCCUCUCAGGUUACCUGGAACUUGUCAGGGUCGGCUCCUCCAGCCUGAGCCACAAAGAGGCCAGAGCCAGGCUCCAGCCGCAGGCCCUGUGCAGAGCGCGUGAAGCGCAGCCACUGGCCGACGAAGGCGGGCAGGCGGAAGCUGGCGGCCGUGUGGGUGUGGCGGGCGCCCGGCUCCGUGUAGAGCAGCGAGAUGAGCUGGUGCCCGUCCCGCACCUCCGAGACCUUCACGCCCAGCGUGACCACGGCCUGCGCCGGGUCCGUGAUGGCGAACAGCACCCCGGCGCGCUCCGUGGCCGGCCGGACGCGGAACAGCAGCAAGAAGUCCCGGAAGAAGGGGCUGGGGAAGUGGUACUGGGCCGCCUGGCCGCUGUUGGCGUCCGGCCCGAAGACGUAGGCCAGCCCGACGGCGGGGUCCUCCACCUCCGUCACCUGCUGGGGCGGGGGCUCGCCGAGGAGCUGCAGCAGCCCGACCUCGUCGCCGGAGCCCUCUGCAAGAGCAAGCGAUACGGUGAGGAGCCCUGCAGCCCCACCUCCGCCCGGGCCACGAGGCUGGGGGCCUGCCGCCCCUCAGACCACCGGCAGCCACCCCCGCUAGUCAAGGCCCCAACCACGCUACAGAAACCACCUGCGAGGGCCAGCUCCUGGAGCAGCGGGUUAGGCCACCGCCUGCGGUGCCGGCGUCCCCCGUGAGUGCCGGAGUCCCCCAUGUGCCGCCAGCUCCCUGCUCCUGUGCUCGGAGGGCGCGGAGGGCGGCCCGAGGACCUGGGCCCCUGCACCCCCGUGGGAGACCCACAUGGAGCUCCAGGCUCCUUCCAGCAAGUGGAAGACUCUGUCACUCCCUCUCUAACUCUGCCUUUCAAACAAACAUGUCUUCAAACAGAGAGAAAACCAGCUGCAAGGAAUUAGGCAGUGCCCCUCUUCCUCCAGGGGCUCACAGGCCACAGGGGGACCCCCAGCGACAUCGCAGCUGGCUGGGGGAGGGGAGCAUCCCCACGGGAGUGCAGAGCCCCCACCAGCCCCUGCCUGUCCCCCUCGCUCUGACCCCAGGAACAGCAGCGCCAGGCAUUACCUGAAGGAAGCCAUCCCUCAGUGGCAAGAAAGGAGAAGAGGCGCCUAGACGCCCCCCAGGCUCCAGAUGCCCCCCAGCUCCAGACUCCCCCCUCCCAGGCUCCAGAUACUCCCCAGGCGUCAGACCCCUCCCAGGCUCCAGAUGCCCCCACCCAGGCUCUUCCAAAUGCCCCCACCCCCAGGCUCCUGUGCACCAAGAGCUGGUCCCGCACACAGCAAGCUCCUGGCACAGACGAGAACAGGGCCGCUCUCCUCAGAGCCGCCCUCCCGUCACUCCCAUGGUCCUCAUGGCUUCCCUGCAGGGGACCCCAGAGCCCCCCAGGUUGCGUGGGGGAAGCCCACACCGGGGCACUCACAGCAAGAGUGUGAGGCGUCUCAUGGAGGCUGUGGAGAGAUGGUUGGGGCAGGUGUGUGAGCACACAGGGGUGUGCGUGUACAAGUGAGUGUGUGUGUGCAAGUGCUUGUGAGUUCUCGAGAGAUCAUGAGCGUGCAUACAUGUGUGUUCAUGAGAACAUGAGUGUGAGUGCAUGAGCGGGCACACAUGUACGUGCACAGGAAUGAGCAUGCGAGUGUGAGUGUGCAAGUGCUCAUGAGAACAUGAGUGUGAGUGCAUGAGCGGGCA
rnacentral:lncRNA from 1 species